UACGUAGGGGGCGAGCGUUGUCCGGAUUUAUUGGGCGUAAAGCGUGCGUAGGCGGCGGGGUAAGUGAGGUGUGAAAUCCCGGAGCUUAACUCCGGAACUGCACUUUAUACUGCCUUGCUCGAGGGCUGGAGAGGAGACUGGAAUUUACGGUGUAGCAGUGAAAUGCGUAGAGAUCGUAAGGAAGACCAGUGGCGAAGGCGAGUCUCUGGAAAGCUGCUGACGCUGAGGCACGAAGGCCAGGGGAGCAAACGGG
rnacentral:rRNA from 1 species